UAUUAUACUAAUGAAUAUUAUAAAAACCUAGAUUAUUAGUAGGUAUAUUCUUUAAAUUCAAAGAAUUUGGCGGUAAUUUAGUCUUGUUAGAGGAACUUGUUUUUGUAUCGAUACACCACGCAGAAUCUUACUCAUUAUAAUAUAGAAGCUUAUAUACCAUCAUUAGCAGAUAAUUUUUAGAAAAUCAAUUAUUAAGGAUUAAAAAAAAUUAAUUUAAAUUAGAUCAAGGUGUAGCCGAUAAAUGAGUUAAAAUGAGUUACAAUAAAAUUUAUUUAUAACGGAGCAAUGCGAGAAAAAAGUUUUGUAGAAGGAGGAUUUAAUUGUAAUAUAAGUUUAAUAAGUUUAAAAGAUAUAAGCUCUAAAUUAU
rnacentral:rRNA from 1 species